rfam:Zostera marina strain Finnish scaffold_149, whole genome shotgun sequence.
GGUUCUAUGGUGUAGUGGUUAGCACUCCAGACUUUGAAUCUGGCGACCUGGGUUCGAAUCCCGGUAGGACCU